GACAAAAUGUGAAAUCUACAACUACAGUUGAAGAUCUAAUUGGAGAGAAAAAGAUGUGAGCUGUAAACUGAUUUCAUUGAUUAGAAGAAGUGAUCUGUACAAUGCACUAUGUACAUACAUAUAUACUGCUACUACUAAACUCACAUCCUAUCACAAUCUUACACCUGUCAAUAAUAACAGAAUUCAGUUACAUCUAAUAAUAACUAACUGCUAAACUAAGACUGCUAAACUAAGCUGUAACAAAUCAGUAACAAACCAGUGAGGUCAAGUUACACCACUAUCCUCAAUACUCCUCCUCAAACUAGGUGUAGUGAAUACAUUUAGAACACCAAGUUUGGAUAAAAGUGAUUCAUGUUGCAGUCUUCCCAAAGCUUUGGUUAAAAUGUCUGCUUGUUGGUGUUGUGUAGGGAUAUACAUAGUACUAAUCAACCCUUGUUGAAUCUUCUCCCUAAUAAAGUGGCAAUCAAUCUCUAUGUGUUUCGUCCUCUCAUGAAACACAGGAUUUGCUGCAAUUUGAAGUGCUGCCUUACUAUCACAGAACACAGAAACUGGUUCCUCAAUCUGAAUAUUCAAUUCUUUGAACAAGUUUGUCAUCCAAACAAUUUCUGCUGUUAGACAAGCCAAGCUUCUAUAUUCUGCUUCAGCAGAACUUCUUGAUACUGCAGCCUGUUUCUUUGAUUUCCAAGAGAUGAGAGAAUCUCCCAACUUCAGUAGAUAACCUGUCACUGAUCUUCUAGUAUUUGGGCAUGCUGCCCAGUCUGCAUCACAAAAACCAGUCAGUUUCAUCUUCUUCUGUGAGGACAUAAGUAAGCCCAAUCCUGGUUGAGUCUUGAUAUAUCUAAGAACUCUAAUAGCAGCCUGCCAGUGCUGAGCUUUUGGUUUCUGGAGGAAUUGACUGAGAGUCUGGACUGUGUAAGCUAUGUCAGGUCUGAUGAUGGUUAAGUACAAUAACUUGCCAAUCAUUCUUUGAUAUUGAGUAACAUCCGGAUGCAACUCCUCCUCACCACAAUCUUCUUCAGAGGCUGUAGUGAGUUUCAUAUUACACUCCAACGGAGUAUUCGCUGCCUUUCCUGCAGUAAUGCCUGCUUCAACUAAGAGCUCCAAUGCAUAUUUCCUUUGGUUCAUAAGGAUACCCCGUUUGGAUCUGCAUGAGUGAUCCAUACCUGCUUGAUUGACUGCUGGGAUCACAGAAUUCUCCUUGUUCAAUAGCCUGAGAAUUUGACCAUAUUGCUCCUGUGUGAAUGUAGGAGGUGUUUGGCCAAGUGAAUCAUUCUCAACAGCAUUGAAAUUUGCCAUUCUAUUGGCAUUGUUUCCAGACUUCUUCCUGAACUUGUAAUCUGGUGGAUAUCCAACAACACGAUAACAAGUUUCUUUGGUAUGGCCCUUGAUUUUGCAAACAUCACACUGCAAAUUGUAGUCCCUUUUUGGCUUGUAGAGUGCUGAUUGUUGGUGACCUCUACCAGCAUAUAAAGCAGUAGAAUUAGAGGCACCUGCAUCUCCUCCUGAAUAAGAACCACCACUAGUGUAUGAAGCAACACCUGCAUCCCCUCCUGAAUAGGAACCUCCACCAGUGUACUGUCUUUGAUCCUUGCCUACAUAUAAAGCAGUAGAAAUCCCCAAAUCUCCUCCUGAAUAUGAACCUGCUGUUACUCGUUGACUCUCAUCUGAAAUGAUCAUCGAAUAUGCUUUGUUCACAGAGGGCAACGCAUCUUCAUAAGAUUUAGGUUCACACACAGCUGAAAAUCUGCUUAAAUAGGCUCUGUAUGUGGAAGAGAUGUGCUGAUACGAAACACAGUUGGACAAUGAGUGAGGUUUCUGCUUCCCAGAAGUGAUAUAGUCUUGAUGCCAGGCUGGUGUAAUCACAGUUCUACUGGACCUCCUAGUAAUAUUGGUGGUUGGUUGACUCUCAGGAAUACCAACAAUAUCAUUGAGUGGAUCUGCAGUGUCAUUCAAUACUGUGGACACAUCAGAAACUUCAGGUACAUGAUCAAUAAUAGUCUCUGCAGAAACUUGAUCUUGUUCUGAUUCUAAUGGCUGAGUGAUGUCUGGGAACAGGGGAAUUGUAUCAUCAUGCAGUUCCUUAAAAGGAAACAUAUGCUCCUUAAACACCACAUCCCUACUAACCAUGAACUUCUUGUCUGCAAUAUUAUAAAGAAGAUACCCCUUCUGAGUCAAAGAAUAGCCCAUCAUAACACAAGCAACAGAUCUGGGAGAAAAUUUGUCUUUCCUAAUUAAUGUGGUAGCAUAACACAUACAUCCAACAGUUCUUAAAUGAUCCAGCUUAGGCUUCCUUUGAUAGAAGACUUCAUAAGGAGAUUUACCUUCCAAUGUAGGAGUAGGUAACCUGUUGAUUAAGUAUACAGCUGCUACAACACAUUCUCCCCAAAACCUGAUAGGUAUGCCACCCUGAAACAUGAUACUUCUGGCUACUUCCAACACAUGCCUAUGUUUUCUUUCCACCACUCCAUUUUGCUGUGGAGUGUGUGGACAACUGCUUUGGUGAACUAUGCCUAAAGAGGCAAAUAAGUCUUUGCAUUCAAUGUUAAAAAACUCACCCCCAUUAUCUGAUCUAACAUUCUUCACAUUGUGAUCAAACUGAGUUUUAACCAUUUUGAAAAAAGACUUCAAGACAACAAUAACAUCAGAUUUCAGUCUAAGCAAAUACAACCAUGUAGUUCUAGAAUAGUCAUCAACAAUAGUGAGGAAAUACUUGAAACCAGCAUGAGUGCUGAUUCUUUGUGGACCCCAAACAUCAAUAUGUAUCAAUUCAAAUACAGAACUACUUCUAGUUGUAGACACAGGAAAAGGCAACCGUGUUUGCUUAGCUAAUGGACAUACAACACAAUCAUUAAUAUGUCUAUCAUUAAUGGAAACUAAUUUCUUCAAAGUAGUGGAGGAUGGGUGGCCAAGUCUAUUGUGCCAUAGCAUGCCUUCAUCAUCAUUGGUCUUUAUGUGCAUCAACUUUGCACUAGCUGCAUUCAUGUUGCUUCCAUCUCCAACAUCUUUAUUCAACAGAAAAUAUAAACCUCCUGUCUCCUUACCAAUCCCCUUGACCUUCCCAGUUAACAGGUCCUGAAAUACACAAAACUCAGGAAAAAAUCUUACUGAGCAGUGUAAAUGCCUGGUUAACUGAGAAACUGAAAUCAGAUUAUACUUGAAAUCAGGAACCACUAAAACAUUAGCCAACACAUCACCAUUGUCCCAUCUAUAACUACCAGUGUGUGUUAUUGAUGCAGUUCCUCCAUCAGGCAAUUGUACAUGGUUCUGAUCACUUUGUUCUAAUGCAACGAUGUCAAACAAAUCAUCUAGUGAUGUUGUUAUAUGCUUUGUUGCGCCAGAGUCUACUACCCAGUGUUUAAACUUAUUACUAAUAGAGAAUGAGUGAUCCAUACCUGCUUGAUUGACUGCUGGGAUCACAGAAUUCUCCUUGUUCAAUAGCCUGAGAAUUUGACCAUAUUGCUCCUGUGUGAAUGUAGGAGGUGUUUGGCCAAGUGAAUCAUUCUCAACAGCAUUGAAAUUUGCCAUUCUAUUGGCAUUGUUUCCAGACUUCUUCCUGAACUUGUAAUCUGGUGGAUAUCCAACAACACGAUAACAAGUUUCUUUGGUAUGGCCCUUGAUUUUGCAAACAUCACACUGCAAAUUGUAGUCCCUUUUUGGCUUGUAGAGUGCUGAUUGUUGGUGACCUCUACCAGCAUAUAAAGCAGUAGAAUUAGAGGCACCUGCAUCUCCUCCUGAAUAAGAACCACCACUAGUGUAUGAAGCAACACCUGCAUCCCCUCCUGAAUAGGAACCUCCACCAGUGUACUGUCUUUGAUCCUUGCCUACAUAUAAAGCAGUAGAAAUCCCCAAAUCUCCUCCUGAAUAUGAACCUGCUGUUACUCGUUGACUCUCAUUUGAAAUGAUCAUCGAAUAUGCUUUGUUCACAGAGGGCAACAGAAUCAUCAUGAGGAUUUGACUACGUGCCUGAGUAUAUGACUCAUUGAGCCCCAUCAGAAAUGCAAAUAACUUCAUAUAUUGCAAGUGACUUGCAUACACUAUGGAUUUAUCACAGCCACAAGAAGGAGGUGCUACAAGGGCAUCGAACUCAUCCCAAAGAAGCCUUAGUCGUGUGAAAUAUGCAGAAACAGAGGAAGUACCUUGUGUGAUAGUGCAAAUUUCUCGACCUUAUCGAACCUCUCCUUUAAGUCAGCCCACACAGUUGCAGCAUCAGUGGCAUAGAUGAUUCCACUCAUCAAUUCCUUCGAAACAGAAUUCAGAAUCCAUGAUAAUACGAAUGCAUUGCACUUCUCCCACUGUUCUUCUAAUGCAUCACUGUAAUCACUCUUUCUAUAGGUACCAAAAACGAAUCCAGCUUUGCUCUUAGCUCGGAGAGUAAGGAGCAUCGAUCGGCUCCAUAAUGAGUAAUUCUCCACGCCUGUAAGCUGAAUUGAGGUCAAUAUUGAACCUGGAGUGUCAGAUUGCAGAAGAUACAGAGGAUGAUUUCGAUUCUUCUCAACCACUUCGAUUGUAUCAGUACUCACCAUUUCCCCAAAAUUUAGAUCACAAAAAAAAACUCAGAGAAUUGCAGGAAGUAGAUCGUCAACAAUUACGAGUGAAUCAACUGUGGAUUCGAAGCUCUGAUACCAUGACAAAAUGUGAAAUCUACAACUACAGUUGAAGAUCUAAUUGGAGAGAAAAAGAUGUGAGCUGUAAACUGAUUUCAUUGAUUAGAAGAAGUGAUUUGUACAAUGCACUAUGUACAUACAUAUAUACUGCUACUACUAAACUCACAUCCUAUCACAAUCUUACACCUGUCAAUAAUAACAGAAUUCAGUUACAUCUAAUAAUAACUAACUGCUAAACUAAGACUGCUAAACUAAGCUGUAACAAAUCAGUAACAAACCAGUGAGGUCAAGUUACACCACUAUCCUCAAUA
rnacentral:lncRNA from 1 species